rfam:Myotis lucifugus cont2.9318, whole genome shotgun sequence.
CUCAGGUGGUGGGGUCCCUUAGCCCGGAUUGUGAGAGGGCACAAGCCAGGCCAAGGGACCCCACCAGUGCAUG